ensembl:snRNA U6 U6 spliceosomal RNA
AUGCUCACUUUGGUAGUACGUCUACUAAAACUACAGUGACACAGAGAAGACUCACAUGGCCCCCAUACAAGAAUGACAGACAAAUGUGUGCAGCACUCCAUACUUUU